AGAGUUGAUCAUGGCUCAGGAUGAACGCUAGCUACAGGCUUAACACAUGCAAGUCGAGGGCAGCAUGUGGUUGCUUGCAACCAAUGAUGGCGACCGGCGCACGGGUGAGUAACGCGUAUCCAACCUUCCCUAUAGUAGAGGAUAGCCCGGCGAAAGUCGGAUUAAUACUCUAUGUUUUCCAAUGCAGACAUCUAAGUUGGAACAAAGGUUCACCGCUAUAGGAUGGGGAUGCGUCUGAUUAGAUAGUCGGCGGGGUAACGGCCCACCGAGUCGACGAUCAGUAGGGGUUCUGAGAGGAAGGUCCCCCACAUUGGAACUGAGACACGGUCCAAACUCCUACGGGAGGCAGCAGUGAGGAAUAUUGGUCAAUGGGCGAGAGCCUGAACCAGCCAAGUAGCCGUGCAGGAUGACGGCCCUAUGGGUUGUAAACUGCUUUUAUACAGGGAUAAAGUGACGUACGUGUACGUUUUUGUAGGUACUGUAUGAAUAAGGACCGGCUAAUUCCGUGCCAGCAGCGGC
rnacentral:rRNA from 1 species